rnacentral:rRNA from 1 species
UACGUAGGGUGCAAGCGUUAAUCGGAAUUACUGGGCGUAAAGCGUGCGCAGGCGGUUAUGUAAGACAGUUGUGAAAUCCCCGGGCUCAACCUGGGAACUGCAUCUGUGACUGCAUAGCGUAGAGUACGGUAGAGGGGGAUGGAAUUCCGCGUGUAGCAGUGAAAUGCGUAGAUAUGCGGAGGAACACCGAUGGCGGAAGGCAAUCCC